rnacentral:rRNA from 1 species
UAGUAUUCAAUUGUCAGAGGUGAAANCCUUGGAUUUAUUGAAGACUAACUACUGCGAAAGCAUUUGCCAAGGAUGUUUUCAUUAAUCAAGAACGAAAGUUAGGGGAUCGAAGACGAUUAGAUACCGUCGUAGUCUUAACCAUAAACUAUGCCGACUAGGGAUCGGAUGAUGUUAAUUUUUUAAUGACUCA